GAGCAAGCCCGCGUAAGUCAUUUGGACGCUGCCUACCUCCAGAAGAUCAUCGACUGUGGGAUCGGUGACGCAGAAGAAGUGAAGCAUCCAUGACUGAACACCGAAUUGGUUAGAAAGGUGUUUUAUGGUGGGGGGAAAGUGAAGCAACUCCUGUACUGGACUUGAAAAGGUAAUGGUGCUUCGACAGACGAAAUCUGCGCUAUAGCAUGCUAUGUUUCUGUUUUAACUCUGAAUAAUCAAUAAAGUAAUUGAUUUCCUAUA